GCUCUGAUUAAAAUCAAUCCCAGUGUCAUAGAACUUUAAGUUGGAAAAACACACAGUUAAGUAAAUAAUUAAGCAAAUCAUUCCAGGUGUGCCAAGUGCUGUGCAGGCAAAGUACAGAGUGCUAUGGGAGCAAGUAGUAGGGACCACACCUGUUCUUAUGAGAGAGUGGCCAGGGCCAGCUUUGACAGACAAGAUGGACAAGGUGGACAGAUAGGAGUUAGCCAGGUAAAGAGAGAGGAUGAGUUAGCAGAGGAAGUCGAGUGUAUGGCAGUUGAGAUGUAUGAAGAACUCAGGAGGGGGUCAGAUAUGGUUGCAGGUGAGAUAUUGCCUGAGAAGCUGCUGAGAGAUGAGACGACAGAAGUCAGAUCAAUCAUGGUCUUACAGGCUCUCUUGAGGAGUUAGAUCUUCAUGCCAAGAGCAAUUGGAAGCCACUGAAGACUUUGAAACCAACAAUGACCAGAUUCAUAUUGUAUGAUAAGAUUUGUAUUAUAAAAAUUGUGAUUUUGGCAGUGGAAUGGAGAAUGGGUUGGAAGGGGUCACGAGUAAAGGAGACUAGUUAGCAGCCCAUGGUUGCUGAGGUCCAGGUGAGAUAUGAAGGGGGCCUGGACCAGGGUGGUGACACUGGAUGAGGAAGACUUAAGAGUCAAGAUAUACCAUAUUACCUUGAUCCUGAAAUGAGGUGAAGGAGUCCAUGGAAUAGAAUAGAGCAAAGGGAGCUAAGCUUGGAAGAAAUGGUUCAACUUCCUGCACUUCAACUGCACAGGAUGAAGAGGUUUCAUUUGUCUCACUUGGCUGGAAGUACAGGAAGUGGUGCCUGACAACUCAUCCAGGUCUACAGUUGGAGCUCUCUGGCAACCAGAGUACAGAAACCAGAUAUAUUGACAGGUAAAACAGUAUGAGCUCCUGAUCAUGGUAAAAGCUUGGGAUAUGCCUGCUUCUGAUAUGGCUCUUUUGCCUACAGCCAUCAAUAAUAAUUUAGCAAAUCUUGUCUCUGUUUAUACUCAUACGAGUAUAUGUUAUUGAGGGGAACAAGCAAGAUUAAUUUAUUUCGAAUGCGAGAAGUCAUUUUAUGAGUUAGAUAAUAAUGUGGACCUCAUGAAACAAAAUGAUCAGUUCCUAGAUGCCCUGGAGAGGAUUACAGCACGGCACUGCAUGUCACUCUUUUUAUCUAUAGCUUUAAAGCAGAAUAUUAUUGCACUAGCAGUUUUCGUAUGCUGAGAUAUGCAGAAUGCCAAGGGAACAAGCACCAACCCCGUGAGUUCUGCUCUGGCACCUGCUUUUAGGAUCUAGAAGAAUAAGAGCUAUUGGCCUACAGGACAUUAUCAAGCUUUCCAAUUGUGAAUGUUAAUAAUAAUAAACAUCUUACA
rnacentral:lncRNA from 10 species